rnacentral:piRNA from 1 species
UGAGAAUGUGAUGAUCCGUUACCCUGUGC